GGCGGUCUCGUAAUCUUUCUUAUUUCUUUCUCAAUAACUGAGCCCUUAGUUUUUUCAUUAGUAACCAUAUCAUCACCACUUGGUACCUUUUAUAGCUCUACAACAAGUGUUUCAUCAACAUUAGCUUUCACAGAAGGUAGUGGAGGAUCCACAGUACUAAUACCACUCCUCGUGGUAAUAACAAAAACAUGACUGUUAUUUUCUAAAUUCUGUACAGUAUUGCUCGGAAGGGCACCUGGCUGCCUCUGGUUUAGAGUUACUGAUAUCUAUCUAAAUUGGUACUCCAACUACUUGAUAGUAGUUGCAUGAGAUUCGAACUUUUGGGUCAAACUUGAAAUGUCGG
rnacentral:lncRNA from 1 species